UACAAAUUUAGGAAGGGCACCAUUUGAUGCAUAACUAUUUCUAUGCUUCAAAUUAGACUCCUGUUCCCUCAACCUGCAACACUUCCACUUGUACAGAUCGAGUGAGAAUUCAGUAGAAUGUCUAUCUACUCUUUUUCUAGGGACACUGUGAUCAUCUAGCCAGCACCAUACCUCCUUGUGAGUCAGAUUAUUCUGCUUCCUUCUUUGGUGUCAACAGUCCCCACUGUAAAUUCUGACCUGAAAGGAAGAGCAACCACAGAGCUCAUGAAGGACGCUGAGACUGCCCUCAAAAAUUUAUUUCUCACAGUUGUAAUGAAAGACUAUAUCUCCAAGAGAUGCAGAGAAGCCAGGGAGAGGAAGAGGAGAGGUCCAAAAGAGAGCUGGGGUCUGUUUCACCUCUGCCUGACAUCAACACUCUUAAUUCUGUCCUUCUCACAGAAGUGCAACCUGUUACACCUCACGUGUGCCUGUAUGGACACCCCACCCAGGAUCUAAGGUAUGUCCAUGCCUCUAUAAACAACUUCCCCUUGGCCAGCACAGGGACCCAGGGAUUCCUAUCUACACAGUGACCUCCCCUCAGGAGGAUAGACUUUAUAAGAAGAUCCCAGAAGUGGGAGUGGACUAUUUGGGCAAGAAACUGUUAUUGAAGUAUGGUCUAGAGGGAUGGAUAUGGACUCUGGGUAAGCACAUCCCCUUGCCUCUCAAGAGCUGUGCCCAAUGGGGAAGGACACAGCUGGAAAAGGACCAGAGCAGGACCAUCUAAAGCAUGAGGACCCAGUGCAGGGACCUCUUUUGCACACUAUAAAGACUGAAGACGGCCUCCCUGACAAACUGGUGGCAUCGCUCAGUCUCUGGGCUACUAUUGUACCUGGCCCCCUUCCCUAGCCUGCCUCUCUUAUUCACUGCCAGUUCCAGACCCAUUAAGACAAUGUAUUGUCGCCAUGUUCAUUUUACAAUAACAUACACAAGGCAUGAAUUCACAGUCACCAAGCCUUAUUACACUCUCAAACAGCUCUCGCUAGAGGAAAUAGUCUGGCGGGAUUUUGCACUGUAAUAUUUAUUGUGGCAAUAACAUGGAGCCUCCCUAC